GAUGAAGAACGUAGCGAAAUGCGAUAAGUAAUGUGAAUUGCAGAAUUCCGUGAAUCAUCGAAUCUUUGAACGCAUAUUGCGCCCUCUGGCAUUCCGGGGGGCAUGCCUGUCCGAGCGUCAUUGCUGCCCUCAAGCACGGCUUGUGUGUUGGGCCCCGUCCUCCGAUCCCGGGGGACGGGCCCGAAAGGCAGCGGCGGCACCGCGUCCGGUCCUCGAGCGUAUGGGGCUUUGUCACCCGCUCUGUAGGCCCGGCCGGCGCUUGCCGAUCAACCCAAAUUUUUAUCCAGGUUGACCUCGGAUCAGGUAGGGAUACCCGCUGAACUUAAGCAUAUCAAUAAGCGGAGGA
rnacentral:misc_RNA from 1 species